AAACGAUGGGUGCUAGUUGUCAGGCAGCUUGCUGUUUGGUGACGCAGCUAACGCGUUAAGCACCCCGCCUGGGGACUACGGUCGCAAGACUAAAACUCAAAGGAAUUGACGGGGGCCCGCACAAGCGGUGGAGCAUGUGGUUUAAUUCGAGGCAACGCGAAGAACCUUACCAGCUUUUGACAUCCCGGUCGCGGUUACCAGAGAUGGUUUCCUUCAGUUCGGCUGGACCGGUGACAGGUGCUGCAUGGUUGUCGUCAGCUCGUGUCGUGAGAUGUUGGGUUAAGUCCCGCAACGAGCGCAACCCUCGCCUUUAGUUGCCAGCAUUAAGUUGGGCACUCUAGAGGGACUGCCGGUGAUAAGCCGGAGGAAGGUGGGGAUGACGUCAAAUCAUCAUGGCCCUUACGGGCUGGGCUACACACGUGCUACAAUGGCGGUGACAGUGAGCAGCCACUCAGCAAUGGGGAGCUAAUCUCUAAAAGCCGUCUCAGUUCGGAUUGUUCUCUGCAACUCGAGAGCAUGAAGUUGGAAUCGCUAGUAAUCGUGGAUCAGCAUGCCACGGUGAAUACGUUCCCGGGCCUUGUACACACCGCCCGUCACACCAUGGGAGUUGGUUUUACCCGAAGACUGUGUGCUAACUUAGGAGGCAGCAGGCCACGGUAAGGUCAGCGACUGGGGUGAAGUCGUAACAAGGUAGCCGUA
rnacentral:rRNA from 1 species